rnacentral:rRNA from 1 species
CAGGAUGAACGCUAGCUACAGGCUUAACACAUGCAAGUCGAGGGGCAUCAUGGAGUUGCUGCAAACUCUGAUGGCGACCGGCGCACGGGUGAGUAACGCGUAUCCAACCUUCCCUAUAGUAGAGGAUAGCCCGGCGAAAGUCGGAUUAAUACUCUAUGUUUUCCGUUGCAGACAUCUAAGAUGGAACAAAGGCUUGCCGCUAUAGGAUGGGGAUGCGUCUGAUUAGGUAGUCGGCGGGGUAACGGCCCACCGAGCCAUCGAUCAGUAGGGGUUCUGAGAGGAAGGUCCCCCACAUUGGAACUGAGACACGGUCCAAACUCCUACGGGAGGCAGCAGUGAGGAAUAUUGGUCAAUGGGCGAGAGCCUGAACCAGCCAAGUAGCGUGCAGGACGACGGCCCUAUGGGUUGUAAACUGUCUUUUAUGGCGGGGAUAAAGUUCACUACGUGUAGUGUUUUGUAGGUACCGCAUGAAUAAGGACCGGCUAAUUCCGUGCCAGCAGCCGC